rnacentral:rRNA from 1 species
GAUGAAGGAGGAGCUUGCUCCUCUGGAUUAGUGGCGAACGGGUGAGUAACACGUGAGCAAUGUGCCCUUGACUCUGGAAUAAGCGCUGGAAACGGCGUCUAAUACCGGAUACGACCUUCGGAGGCAUCUCCUGUUGGUGGAAAGAACUUCGGUCAAGGAUCAGCUCACGGCCUAUCAGCUUGUUGGUGAGGUAACGGCUCACCAAGGCGACGACGGGUAGCCGGCCUGAGAGGGUGACCGGCCACACUGGGACUGAGACACGGCCCAGACUCCUACGGGAGGCAGCAGUGGGGAAUAUUGCACAAUGGGCGCAAGCCUGAUGCAGCAACGCCGCGUGAGGGACGACGGCCUUCGGGUUGUAAACCUCUUUUAGCAGGGAAGAAGCGAAAGUGACGGUACCUGCAGAAAAAGCACCGGCUAACUACGUGCCAGCAGCCGCGGUAAUACGUAGGGUGCAAGCGUUGUCCGGAAUUAUUGGGCGUAAAGAGCUCGUAGGCGGUUUGUCGCGUCUGCUGUGAAAUCCCGAGGCUCAACCUCGGGCUUGCAGUGGGUACGGGCAGACUAGAGUGCGGUAGGGGAGAUUGGAAUUCCUGGUGUAGCGGUGGAAUGCGCAGAUAUCAGGAGGAACACCGAUGGCGAAGGCAGAUCUCUGGGCCGUAACUGACGCUGAGGAGCGAAAGCAUGGGGAGCAAACAGGCUUAGAUACCCUGGUAGUCCAUGCCGUAAACGUUGGGAACUAGAUGUGGGGACCAUUCCACGGUCUCCGUGUC